GCACGGCUGGGCCGGCAGCUUCGGCACCUCCGCCGUGCCCCGGCUGUUCCGCCGCGGCGCCAAGCGC
rnacentral:tRNA from 1 species